rnacentral:rRNA from 1 species
AGAGUUUGAUCCUGGCUCAGGAUGAACGCUGGCGGCGUGCUUAACACAUGCAAGUCGAGCGAAGCACUUUGUUUUGAAUCUUCGGAGGAAGAACGAAGUGACUGAGCGGCGGACGGGUGAGUAACGCGUGGACAACCUGCCUCAUACAGGGGGAUAACAGUUAGAAAUGACUGCUAAUACCGCAUAAGACCACGGUACUGCAUGGUACAGUGGUAAAAGCUCCGGUGGUAUGAGAUGGGCCCGCGUCUGAUUAGCUGGUUGGUGAGGUAACGGCUCACCAAGGCAACGAUCAGUAGCCGACCUGAGAGGGUGACCGGCCACAUUGGGACUGAGACACGGCCCAAACUCCUACGGGAGGCAGCAGUGGGGAAUAUUGCACAAUGGGGGAAACCCUGAUGCAGCGACGCCGCGUGAGCGAUGAAGUAUUUCGGUAUGUAAAGCUCUAUCAGCAGGGAAGAAAAUGACGGUACCUGACUAAGAAGCCCCGGCUAACUACGUGCCAGCAGCCGCGGU